GCGAGUUGGCGUGUGGCCUUCGGGCCGACCCAUAUGAGGCCUGAGGAAACUCCGCCCACAUGUAGAAGUGCAACGCCCGCAAGGGCGUAGGGCGAGAGCCCUGGCAACGGAGCAGAAACGAAACGUCCGCCCAGCAAAUGCCAAUGAGGCAUGCUAAGUUGUCGAGGAUGCUGGGCGGAAACGGUGAAACGGCCGUCCUGCACGUGGAAAGGGCAAACGGCGCUGAUGAGGAUUCUACCCGAAAGCGCAGGUAGCCCGAUAAGCCGAAUGCCACAUAAAACAGAAGGCGGGUUACAGCCAACACGC
rnacentral:RNase_P_RNA from 1 species